rnacentral:lncRNA from 1 species
CCUAAGCCAAACAUGAGUGACUGUGGUCUGGGAAGUGGCAUUGCAUGACAUACUCCACCAUGCAACUUUUACAGCCACAAAAUAAGGGAAGUCCUAAUCAAUACACUUAGCAAACAUUUGGUAGGUCAUCAGGUAGGCUGGCUAUGAGCAGAGGGAGAAAAUCUUUCCUGUAGUUUUAGCCAUUACCUUAAACAUGCUUAGCUUGGUGGAUGCUUAUAGGUCUGCAAAGCUUGGUUUAUUCUGAGAGUUUUAUCUAAAGUUAUAAUGGCAGAUACAGGAGUUGAAAUUAAGUGGCUACUAAAGAGCCUAAGAAAUACCAAGAUGCUUGGGAUCCCGAUCUGAAAUCUUCCAUCUCUCCACAAUCGCAGUCCUCUUGCUCAGCCAGUCAAGCAGUCUGCAAGAUCUUUUAUAUGGGUGCAGCUUCUUCAGAGACCCUCAGCUCCACACCACCAUGUGAGGUCAGCUUUUUGGAUAUAUGGCUAGUAUUUCUAAACUCUAUUCUAUGGGACACUAUGGUGCUAAAAGAUGAUAACAGCAUUACUGCAAAACCAAAAAUAGAUCAAAACAAAAACUGAGUCAAAUGCAUCUGGGGCCAGGCAUACCAGUAAUCCUAGCAACCUGGUAGGGUGAGGCAGGUGGAUCACAAGUUUGAGGCCAGCCUGGACAAUUUAGUGAGAUCCUGUCUCAAAAUUUAAAAAAGGGUUGGGGAUGUUGCUCAAUGGUAAAGCUCCCCUGGGUUCAAUCCCCAGUGCAUCCGUGCACACACACAUACACACACACACAUACACACAGAAAAAAAGAAACAUCUGGGGAUACUGCAUGCUCCAUGUCCCUCAUAAAUCUUCAUGUUGCACAUUAGCACUCUAAAUUUUAUUGUAGUGAUGGUUGCAUAACUUUGAAUUCACUCAAACCACUGUAUUAUAUAAUUUACAUGAAUGAAUUGUACAUAAAUUAGAUCUUGAUGAAACUUUUGUUGGGGGAGAUUGAACCCAAUGUGAAGAAUGUGAAUCCAAGGGCACUUAACCACGGAGCCACAUCCCCAUCCAUUUUUUUAUGUUUUAUUUAGAGACAGGGUCUCACUAAGUUGCUUAGGGCCUUUCCAAGUUCCUGAGGCUGGCUUGAACUCACAAUUCUCCUGCCUCAGCUUCCCGAGCUGCUGGAUUACAUGCGUGUGCCACCAUACACAACUGCAAUGAGGCUGUUUUCCUAAAAACAGAAUGAACAUCUACCAAUAGGAGGGUUUCACAGCACAGCCUGGGAAGGGAUGCUCUGGACAUCUUUGCCACUCCUGACUAGGCUCUGUGACUAACAUAGUAGCUGUUCUGUAUCACCAGCUAUGUCAACUAUCAAAAGCAUCACUGGUAUUUGAGAAAAUGCUCACAGGGUAGGACAGGGUUUAGGGAGCCCCUGUAUCAAUAAGAUGUGCAGAACUAAGUAGCCACUGUUACACAUGCUUCACACUUUGGUUAUGUGACUGUUCUUACAAAAUACAUGAGAGGUAACCAAAAAGGGACCCCAGAGUCUUGUAAAGUUUCUAACAUCUGGAGUAAGGGAUAGCAUUGCACAGGUAACACAUUGAAUCUCCUCCAGUUAAUGAUUGUCACUGCCAGGGUCUUCAAACUGACUUGUGGCCACUGGGCAAACCUCUGAGGCAGUUCCCCAUCUGUACUAAUCAUACUUGCCUUUUGUUUUCAUUUCAGUGAAAGCUGGUGGAAUGUAGAUCAUGCAGAAACACCCACAUGCUAGAGACACCAAGGAAGAAAGAGACAAGGAUUACCAGGAAUGGGAAAGCCCCAAAUGGUAGACGUCUGGUGACUCUUAACAAACUUUGCAAAUAAUGAUUGUUCUGUUAAACAUUAGUGUUUGUCCUUCCUCUGUUCUGAUAACUCCUGGGCAGCUGGACCUGUGCUGUGUAUUCUUGCUUUCCCUGUCAAUGAGGUAGAGUUCUGUGCCACUUGGGCAGGAGACAGGGCAUGUAAAUUACACCAUUUUCUCUGUUGACAACUCAUGAGCCCAGGCAGGUGCAGGGACUGCAGUGAUGUUGGCACGCACAGGCAGCCUCUCUAUGCCUUGGGUAAGUCAGGGCUCCUCCCUUCCUGAAAGCCAAGGCGCUGUGCCAGCAGGAGCAGGAGACCCUGGAGAAGCUUACUGUGGAUCCUGGGUCUCCGGUGGGGCACAAAGCCACCAUCAUUUCCCUCCAUGCCCGAGUGGAGGAAAUAGGUUAAUUCUUGGGGCUGCAGGUCCUUUACACUCUAGGUUUCCGUUUACUAUUCCAUAGAAGUGUGCACUAACAAUCUGUGGACUGCAGUUCUCCAUUGGAGCUACAGUUCUGAAACCCUUGGGAACCCUGAGAUACUACACUAGUUGAAUCUUGGCCAUCUGCGCAGCUGGGAUGGAAAACUUCUGGUUUAAGAAAUGUUUAUGGGAAAACCUUACGUGACAUCUCUGCUCCCUUUGGGUCUUGGAACCUCUCUGCUUACCUUUCUGUUGGGCACCUCUUUUCCUUGGAGGUUCUGAGUUCAAGCUUGGCUCAAGGGCCUCGUCCUUUGCUGUGCUUGACCUUGCUAUGUACAAGCAGGCAUCACAGACACAUGCACCUCUCUAGGUGUCCACGAGGAAGAAUGUGAACAUCCAAUUUUCUGCUUAUAACUUGUCUCCAGACAGCAGAGGAGGAAACAAAGGGUGGGAGGGAAGGAGGGCGUGGACAGCAGUGAGCUCUUGCUCCUGUUGGCCAGGCACAUGAUCUGACUUCAUUUCACUCCUGUAGUGCUGAGCAGCAGUUAGUAUUCCCCCCGAUUUACAUACAAGGAAAUGGGAUCCCACAUCACGCUCCUUCCCAGUUAAUAGAGCAGUCAUUUAAAUGCAGUUUAGUGGGGUUCAGAGAAGGCCAGGUUUCCAAAAGAAGAUUCCUGGGAGUGCACACCAACAGGAAGGCAGGUAUACUUGGUACCAUGUGUCUGGUGGCAGGUAUGCCCCGCUGGGCAUUUUCCGUAAGCCUUGUAUGGGUGUUUCAGAUUCUAGUCUCUCGUUCACCCAAAAGAUUGCUCUCUUUCUGUGUAGACCCAAGGUUUUGAAGCAAGCUUACCACAGAGUACAGACCCAGUCAAACACUACUUGAGGGGCAGACCUCUGCAUGAAGUUUCUGUGCAAUCAUUUCCCAUUUUGAAUUGAGUAAGCAAUGUCAAAGAAAGUUCAGCCUAAGUCCUGGUUUUAUUUUUUAACUCUUUUUUUCCAUUUGUUUGAUGCUGGGGUUGAACCCUGAGCCCUGCACAUGCUAAUCAUAUACCCGAAUUCUGGUUUUAAAAGAAGAAAGUAGUUUAAAGAAAAUUCCACGAUUAUUUCUCACUGACUGUUUUCCAGAGCUGCAUAUGAGUUGCAAGGGCAGCAGUAACUCCUCCAGGUCCACACCCUGGGGCCCAGGAUGUCUCAGGCUCUAUAAAGGUUGGGGUAUUAGAGAGUGAUGCACAUGUGAUGCAGUAAUGCACACACCAUCCAGCUGCCAGGGCACAGGCACCUGUCUCAAGCUGCUCACUGCCCUCCAACCAGGUGGGCUGAAUGCUCACCUGUAGGGACCUGUAAAUAGUGCAGGUGAAGUUUUGCCUCCAUAUGGAACAUAGGGAAACUCACAAUUUCAGAACAUUUCAGAAUAGAGGGCAAGAGGAUAUGCCCUGCAGUGGUGUCCUCCUCCGGGACCCCUGCUGCUGCCGUCCUUCCUCAAGAUGCAGGAAGAUGUUAAGAGAGAGAAGGUGCUGCUGGAGUGAGGUCCUGCAUGGGUAGGGAAGGUGCCUUUCUGAGUGUCCCUGGGGCAAGGACACAUGGCUCGUCCCCUGCCCAGUCAAGUGCCAAGAAGCCAGAGAUGCAUGCUUAGAAAUAAGGGCAGAGUGGUUUGUCAGUUUUCUUUCUAUUGAUUUUUCCCUGAAAACAAAUACAGCAUAUAUUGAAGAUGAGCAGUUUAAAUAACCGUGCCAGAGGAUGAACAGUGGAAAUGGAAAAGGUGGCUCUCCCCAGCGCUUCAGAUCUAUCUCCUUCACCAGAAAGAUCACUCUCUCUCUCUGUGAAUACCUGAGGUUUUAAAGCAAGCUGACUACAGAGUACAGGCCACAGCUGACUGCUGGUUAUCCAACCCAGUGACAGGUGGCCUGUCAGUGUCCUGGCCAGGACCGCCUCCCGGGUCUGUCUUGAAUUAGCUGCUGUGUGGAGUCUGCAGACACAGUCAGGGACUUUACUUGUCAGUCUCUGCAGCUGAGCUGCAGUGUGUCACUCUUGUCCUCUUCACCCUGGCUGGCUCCUGUCCAGCAUGGGAUAAACCACAUGACACAGAGCACAUGGAGUGCAGGGAGCUGUGCUCUUCAGCUUCUGACCUGUGUCGUCAACACAGCUCCUAAAACUCCGCAUCAGGCCGUGGACCCUGCCUAACCAUUUACUUCUACCACCAGGCCCACCCCAUUUUCCUGUUGGUAGUUGAAUAAUUGGUAAUCAUUGCUGGCUCUUAUGGAGAGCAGGGAAUCUGCCAAUUCUAAGUAGUCUGCCCCCCUUAAUUCAUUGAAUUCUCAUAAUUGCUCUGUUAUUUUCACUAUUUCAAAGAUGAUUAGUGAUUAUUAUCUUCAUUUCAGAUUCUAAUCUCUUUUUGGUGGCUCAGAGAGUUAAGUGAGUUUUCUAAGGUCACACAGCAAGUAAGUGGCAGAGUGCUGGCAGCUGGGUUCAGAUUCUUCACUCUUAGCCAUGAAGCUGUGCCUGCUGAUUCCCAUUUCACAUCAGGUUUAAUGCCACUUACACCUUGGGGUUAAUGUGCCCCUCAUAGAGAUGAAGAAGGAAGGCUUAGGGUAGUUAUCCAACCCCGUGAUAGGUAGCCGGUCAGUGGCCUGGCCAGGAUUGAUCUCUGAGUCAGUCUUGACUUAAAAGCUUUGUUAGUUAACUUUCCACUGUGAAAAAAUACCUGAGAGAAACAACUCAAAAGAGGAAAGACAUUUGGCUCAUAGUUUCUGAGUUUUCAAUACAUGGGCAGCUGGUUCUGUUGCUCUGGGCCUAAGGUGAGACAGAACACCAUGGCAGAAGAGCACCGCAGAAGGAUAAUGCCAUCUCAUGACAGCCAGGAAGCAGGUGGGGGGUGGGGGGCGUUGUGAGGAAGGGGCCAGGACAAGAGGGCCCCACCCCAUCGACCACCCCCCCCCAAUGCCAUUAAAUUACGAACACAUAGGUGAUUAAUCACUUCCCAAAGGCCCUGCUCUGAACACUGCUGCACUGGGGACCCAGCCUUCAACACAUGAGCCUUUGGGCUCCAGAACUAAACUAUAACAGAAGCCCAAAUCUCAAGUUGUUACAGAAGCCCUGAUCAACAUAGCCUGCAGUCUGGAUUCUUUCUCAACCUCAUCAUUCUGAGGUUGCCUUUGACAUUGUCUGUGCUUCUCAAACCCAUAAUCCUACCUAUCUUCAGCCUCCCCAUCCAGAGAAGGUCUAAUUGUCAGCUUACAACAGGAUUUCAGGGGGCUGGUUUUAUUUUACAUAUGGAAAGAUCUUUUUAUUUGCAGAAUUUGUAAAACAUGAAAUGAUCCUCUUGGAAAUGUCAUAUGGCCUAUGACUCAGUCAUAUCCCAAUCCUAUUAGUUUUGUGUUUUGAUGCAAAGUUCUUCAGAUAUGAUGAUAAGUGCAUUGUUUUGGGUGCCAAUUUCCUCUUUCAGCAUAGAUCUACAUUUAGAAACUCUUUGUUUUCUUUCCCAAAUAUUUACAACUGUUCUUAAUUUACCAACUCAUUUCUGGUGGUUUCCUUCCCCACUCAUUGAGAAGUCAUACACUGAUUACAGAGAAAAUGAAAACUUGGAGCAUUGAAAAGGUUAUUAUGUUACCAAUAGAAAUCCCAAGACCUUUACUAGUAAUUACUUUUGUUUUGCAAAUAUUUGUGCAAUUCUUGCUCCCUUUAAUCUUGUUAUUUUCCAGAAAUUUAAAAAUAAUCUCAUGUUGCUAAGUUGUUUGAGAUGGUACUUAAAAAAAAAAAAGGAGAAGAAAGUGGCCGGAAUGUGAAAAUGUUGCCCAAGAAUUCCCAUCAGGCUGCAUUCUAGCCAUCUAUGAGUCUUCACAUCCAAGGAGAGUACAGGGUUCCUUGUGCUCUCCUGAGUGGCUGCUGGAUUCCAUCUCAUAAGUGACCCAAUUGAGAAUAGCAAAUGUUGUCCUCAGAGACUUUUGUUGGGCAUAAUAAUAUGAUGUGCCCAGCUUCACUGUGAACAGGAGAAACUGCAGGUGUGGGAUGGGCUCCAAGAGUCAGGAUUCACUGAAGGAAACAAUUAAUGUUGAGUAUUAUGGAGUACCUACCAUGAACCAGGCUUAAUACAAGACAUUAAAAAGCAAUGAGUGUCAGAAAGAGUAAACCAGAAAUGAAUGCACUGUUUACUUUGUUGUUGUUUGGGUUUGGGUUCAGAGACUGAACCCAGGGCCACUUUACCACUGAGCCACAUCCCCAGCCCUUUUUAAUUUUUUCUAAGUUGCUUAGGGCCUCUCUAAGUUGCUGAGUUUGGCUUUAAACUUGUGAUCCUCCCAGUCACUGGGAUUAUAGGUGUGGGCCACCAUGUGCAGCAAAUGAAUGCAUUUUGUUGCCACCAGGAUUGGGAGGAUAAAGAGUAGUAAGAAUGAUUGGAUGGAAUGAGCAGUCAGGAUCGGGAGGGAGCAAGCAGCUCCUCACUGAGCUUGGAUUUUUGUGUCCCUCUCAGCUAGAACCAUGGUAUUGUUCCACACAUCCAAGAAAUAAGCAAACCAUUGACAUCAACCAAAUGCAGGAGUGGGGGAUCCAACCUGCAUACAAACAGUAACAGAUGAGGCUGACUGCACUACAAUUGAUUAAUAUGACCACAUGGAAGGGAGUAAGAGGUUGCCUAAGUAACUUUGUAAAACAACAUUUUGGUUGGAUACUGUAAGGCUGAAGAUAAAAAAGCAUCACACCCCAAUGUCGUACUACAGUUAGUAAACUGUUUUCCCACAGGGGGUUGGGGUAGCUCUAAGUAUAUACUAGAAUUGAACAAGUUGGUAAAUAUGUUGUAGAUCAAGUUUCUCACUGCCAGAACAAGAGGUCACAAACAGAGAGGACUGAAAUGGACUUUGUGCUGAUGGAUGGGGGAGGAGAUAACUGUCAGAACUGAUGGUUUUAGAUGGGUGGGUGGAUGGAAGAUGCAUUAUAUACAUACAUAGGCGCCAAUAUAAAUGAAGAUGAGGGGUUAGUACACAUACGAGUAUUUCCUGCUUCUAUGCCCUGCCUCUCUUCACUGAGGGGACCUAAAAACUAACACCCAUGCAGCCAUAAGCACCUAGGGCUGACAUCUUGGUUUCUACACAGUAUUCCCAGUCAUGGGAACAGGUCCCUUGAAGAAGUUGUGGAUUCCAGGACCACAGCAAGGAAAGGACUAGAUUAGCCCGGAACAUUUGUAAUGCCAGAACAUAAGGAAGUGCUUCAGAAAGGCCCAGGCGUGGCAGAACACACAGAGGCCCACUCACAGGGUCUCUUAAUGCCAAAGUUGAAACAGUCUGCCACAAAAUAUACAGCCGCCACAGCAAAAUUGAUAUCCACAAGUCCACACUGACAUGAACAAAGAAGGAAGGGAUAAUACAGCUCUUCUUUACUGAAUAAUUCCAAUUAAUAAAUAAAAAGAAGGAGGGAAGUAGAAUAUCACCAGUAGGCAAAAAUUACAGUAAUUUUUAAAAAUAAUUUUGUAGUUGUAGAUGGACACAGUAUUUUUAUUUUAUUUAUUUAUUUUUAUAUGGUGCCAAGGAUCGAACCCAGUGCCUCACACAUGCUAAGCAAGUGCUCUACCACUGAGCCACAACCCCAGCCCAGUAUAGUAAUUUUUAUAAGCAAAAUUCACCAGUAGAAAUUAGGUUUGUGGGUGUAAAUUUGAGAAUAACCAGAAUAUUUGCAUAGUCUCAAAGUAUUUUCUUCAAUAUAUUUAUUAGUUAUAAGAUAACACAGAGAGAGUGUCUUUACAGUAGAAACCAUGAAAAGGACAUGUGUUUAUGGGAUGAAGAAGGCAAGGGUUACCUGCGGGACCCCAGCUGGGGAAGUGCGUAUUGAUGACUGAGUUUCUGCUGCUUGUGUGAACAUCUGUGAGUGACCCUGUGAACACCUCCAGGGUUUGCAAGUAGGCAAGUGCAUAGCAACAGGGGUCUGUGAGCAGAGAAGAUGGACUACUCACUUACUAUGUGUCCCUUUUAGAAAAGUUUGCCAGCCCCUAUUUUAAUUUAGUCUACCUUCAAAAAAUGUUCUACUUCAUAAACAAUUAAGAACCUUACAACUGUAUACUUCUAAUUUCCUCUUCCCCACUUUGUGCUGUUGUCAGAUUCUUUACUUCUAUCUAUACUCCAAGGAAUAAAUGCAGAUAACUACUUCGCCACUCACUCUAUAGCAGCACAAAAGCCCUGAUCUGUGGCAGUUACUAUCUUUAUGGUGUAAAACCUCCCACCAUGGCCAGUUUUAAGUGAGCAACAUGAUGUUACUAAACAUGAACUUGUGAAGACAUGCUUCCAGUCAACUCUGGCACACUAGUGGCUACAACCAGUUAUUAUUUUUUGUUUUAAAGAUCAAUUUUCUUUUAAAGAGAUUUAAAGAAAGAUGUGAGGUAUUUAUAAAGGUCCAUUAUGUAUUUCCACAAAAACAUCUCAUAGUGUAGAACUCUGAUUUGGCUGUGGCUUGAGUGUGUCUCCCAAGGGUUCAGGUGUUGAGAUUUAAUUUCCAGUGUGAGGUCUUAGGAGGGUGAAAAGUUAAUAUGACUAUGGUGUUUAGAGGUGAGGCUUCUAGGAGGCAAUUAGGAGUAGAUAAGGUCAUGAGGGUGGAGCCUCCAUGAUUGAUUCUGGUGGUUUUUUAAGAAGGGGGAGGGAGACCAGAGGAGACCCCCAUACAUCUGCACUCUGUUCUUGCCAUUUGAUGCCUGCACCACCUUGGAACUCUGCCAGCAGGAACGUCUUUAUUGGAUGCAGACCCAGGACCUUGGAUAGAACCAUGAGCCAAAAUGAAACCUCUUUCUGUUAAAGUUAUUCUGCCUUAGAUUGCAUUAUAGUAACAGAAAAUGUACCAAUACAGUAAGAAGGUACUCAUCUGAUAGGGAUGAAUUCUUUCUGCUUGUCUCUGUCUGAAAAUGAAUUUGUUUUGCUUUAACUUUGAAAAGAUGUUUUCACUAUUGAAUUCCUAAUUAUGUUUUUUCUUCUAAUACUUUAAAUGUGACUUUCCAUUGUCUUCUGGUCCCCAUUGUAUACAGUGAGAAAUCAGUGGUAUUUCUUAUCAUUGUUCCUUUGUGUAAUAAUUCUGCUUACCUUUGGUACCUUUCAAGAUUUUCUCUUUGUUUUUGUUUUUCAAUAGUUUGUGAUACAAGAAGCAUGAUUUUCUUUGUAUUUGUCUUAUUUAAGGUUCUCUGAGCUUCUUGGGUUUAUGGUUUAAUAUUAUCCAUUUAGAAAAAUUGUUAGCCAUUAACUUUGUAAAAAUUGCUUCUGCUUCACUCUCCUUUUCUAAGACUCCAGUUGCUUCAUUAAACCAAUGGUGUGCCCUCAGGUCUCAGAUACUCUGUCCUUCUCCUGUGCCCCGACUCUUUUUCAUAUUUGUAUUUCUGAUUAAUUUCCAUUAGCCUGUAUUCAUGACCACCAAUUCCCUCCUCUGUUGUACCCAGUCUCAUUCUAAGUCCCUCAAAAAGAUUCUUCAUUUCUGAUAUCCUGUUUUUUCAUUUCUAACAUUUAAAUUUUAAAAAAAUUUUUUAAAAAAAUUCAGAGUUAAAAAUUCAGAGUUAACUUAAUUUUUUUCCUUUUUCAUUAUUCUUUUUUUAUUUAUAUAUGACAGCAGAAUGCAUUACAAUUCUUAUUACACAUAUAGAGCACAAUUUUUCAUAUCUCUGGUUGUAUACUAAAUUUUAAAAAAAUCUUAAAAUUAAAAUUUAAAAAUUUAAUUUUAAAAUUAUAUCAUUUCCAUUUCUCUGCUGAAAUUUCCUA